rnacentral:rRNA from 1 species
CCUACGGGUGGCUGCAGUGGGGAAUAUUGCACAAUGGGGGAAACCCUGAUGCAGCGACGCCGCGUGAGUGAAGAAGUUCUUCGGUAUGUAAAGCUCUAUCAGCAGGGAAGAAGCAAGACGGUACCUGACAAAGAAGCCCUGGCUAACUACGUGCCAGCAGCCGCGGUAAUACGUGGGGGGCAAGCGUUAGUCGGAUGUACUGGGUGUAAGGGGAGCGUAGACGGGAUGGCAAGUCUGAAGUGAAAGCCCAGGGCUUAAACCUGGGACUGCUUUGGAAACUGUUAUACUAGAGUGCUGGAGAGGUAAGUGGAAUUCCUGGUGUAGCGGUGAAAUGCGUAGAUAUUAGGAGGAACACCAGUGGCGAAGGCGGCUUACUGGACAGUAACUGACGUUGAGGCUCGAAAGCGUGGGGAGCAAACAGGAUUAGAUACCCCAGUAGUC